GAUGUCCAGAUCAAGAUAGUCACUCUAAUAUCACUGGGACUGUAUACAAAAAGGAGGUACAGUAAAUGCACCCCAUAUACACCUCAACCCAGGCCCUUUGACUGGUCUGUAUUGUAAAUUGGGGGACAAAA